UCCGGCUUAUCACCGGCGGUUUCUUUAGAGUGCCCAACUAAAUGAUGGCAACUAAAGACGAGGGUUGCGCUCGUUGCGGGACUUAACCCAACAUCUCACGACACGAGCUGACGACAGCCAUGCAGCACCUGUCACUCAUCCAGCCGAACUGAAGGGAUCCAUCUCUGGAACCCAAACUAGGCAUGUCAAACGCUGGUAAGGUUCUGCGCGUUGCUUCGAAUUAAACCGCAUGCUCCACCGCUUGUGCGGGCCCCCGUCAAUUCCUUUGAGUUUCAACCUUGCGGUCGUACUCCCCAGGUGGAUAACUUAAUGCGUUAGCUGCGCCACCGAAAGCCUAAGGCCCCCGACAGCUAGUUAUCAUCGUUUACGGCGUGGACUAC
rnacentral:misc_RNA from 1 species